rnacentral:tRNA from 1 species
UCCCUGGUGGUCCAGUGGCUAAGACUCCACACUCCCAAUGCAGGGGCUCGGGUUCGAUCCCUGGUCAGGGAA